UACGGAGGGUGCGAGCGUUGUCCGGAAUCACUGGGCGUAAAGGGCGCGUAGGUGGCCUGUGGAAGUCUGCGGUGAAAGCCCGGCGCUCAACGCCGGGUCGGCCGUGGAUACUCUCGGGCUUGAGCUUACUAGAGGCAGAUGGAAUUCCGGGUGUAGCGGUGGAAUGCGUAGAGAUCCGGAAGAACACCGGUGGCGAAGGCGGCAUCCUGGACCAACACUGACACUGAGGAGCGAAAGCCAGGGGAGCAAACGGG
rnacentral:rRNA from 1 species